AUCCGACAAUCAACCUGUCACUUACCAACUGGGUUAAUCAUGGCGAAGUAUACGAGGAAGGCCAAGGGCACCGGCGAAGUUGCCUCCAUCGAGGUUACUUACCAGUCCACCCUCGGCGUCCGUACCACAAGGGCUCUCGCCGCUGCGCCGGCCGAGGACUCCUGCGAUUACCUCGAGCUUCGGAGCCGCCGCCUCGAGAAGCCCCUCCCGCCGGUCCUGGCCUGCAAGGGUGCUGACAAGCCCACCAUUGGCCCCCUGUCUGAAAGAAAAUUCUGGAUCCGUGGGGACGAGGAGGUGCUCGGCCUCGGAGGCGUGGCCGGAUGCAGAGGCGUCCUUUGGGGAGAAUAUUAUUGAGGCCGAAGCGAAAGAUAGGUUGGGUUUACGCAAUUAUUGGCUGCUUCAUCAUUGUCUCACUGGAGAAACACAAUUUGGUAGACCAAUGUUUCUGAUAUAGCAGUUGGUUUCAGGUAUGACAGGGAAACUGCUGCUUCAUCAUUGUCUGUAGAAGGUCAAAGGUCCCAGAAUUAGCUGUUAGUUUCAUGUUUUAUGUAACAUAUAGAGCUGAUGAAACACUCCAGUGUAGUUGGCAAGUUUAAGCUCUUUGUAACUUGUUUAACAAAAGUUAAGGGAUCAAAUGUGAGUUUCUCUCCAA